rnacentral:rRNA from 1 species
GACGAACGCUGGCGGCGUGCCUAAUACAUGCAAGUUGAGCGAUGAAGAUUGGUGCUUGCACCAAUUUGAAGAGCAGCGAACGGGUGAGUAACGCGUGGGGAAUCUGCCUUUGAGCGGGGGACAACAUUUGGAAACGAAUGCUAAUACCGCAUAAUAACUUUAAACAUAAGUUUUAAGUUUGAAAGAUGCAAUUGCAUCACUCAAAGAUGAUCCCGCGUUGUAUUAGCUAGUUGGUGAGGUAAAGGCUCACCAAGGCGAUGAUACAUAGCCGACCUGAGAGGGUGAUCGGCCACAUUGGGACUGAGACACGGCCCAAACUCCUACGGGAGGCAGCAGUAGGGAAUCUUCGGCAAUGGACGAAAGUCUGACCGAGCAACGCCGCGUGAGUGAGGAAGGUUUUCGGAUCGUAAAACUCUGUUGGUAGAGAAGAACGUUGGUGAGAGUGGAAAGCUCAUCAAGUGACGGUAACUACCCAGAAAGGGACGGCUAACUACGUG